rnacentral:rRNA from 1 species
AUUGAACGCUGGCGGAAUGCUUUACACAUGCAAGUCGAGCGGCAGCGCGGGGGCAAUCCUGGCGGCGAGCGGCGAACGGGUGAGUAACAUAUCGGAACGUACCCUGUCGUGGGGGAUAACUAUCCGAAAGGAUAGCUAAUACCGCAUACGACCUGAGGGUGAAAGCGGGGGAUCGCAAGACCUCGCGCGAUAGGAGCGGCCGAUAUCGGAUUAGCUAGUUGGUGGGGUAAAGGCUCACCAAGGCGACGAUCCGUAGCUGGUCUGAGAGGACGACCAGCCACACUGGAACUGAGACACGGUCCAGACUCCUACGGGAGGCAGCAGUGGGGAAUUUUGGACAAUGGGGGCAACCCUGAUCCAGCCAUUCCGCGUGAGUGAAGAAGGCCUGGUUGUAAGACUCUUUCGGUCAGGAACGAAACGGUAGGCGUCCUAAU